GAUUUUUUUUUCUACUGCAGUUUCAUAUGCAAAGCAUGCAUCAGCCACAUCCAUGCUAUCUCCUAAAGCAGUCAUUCUGAAACCCAAUCUGGGGACAGUGCAGACUAAAUAAAAUUUCAUUUUGAUUUGGCCUCCCGCUGAGAAUGGGACUGCUUUGUUUCAGCCGACAGAACCAGCAAGCCAGAAAGGUGUUGAAUACACAAACACUGACUUAACGGAAAAUUAUGGUCAUCGUGGUAAGGGAAAUAUUUUUAUCUGGGCCUCAGGAAAUGGUGGUCUGGCUAAUGAUCACAGCAGUGCUGAGGGUUCUGUGAACAGUAUUUGCACAUUGGCAGCUGGUGCCAUCACUGACCUCCACCUCACAACUCCCUCUACAAGGUCUGCUCAGCAAUGAUAGCUGUGGUUCCUACAGAAGUAUCCGGUGAGGUACCAGUGUGGUGGACAGGACCCUGAAACAGGACUUCAAUUUAGAGCAGGGUAACCACAGAACUCAGAGGCAGAUGUGCUUGUGAAUUCAAAGACGUAUCUAGUGCAGAUCCUUUAACUGCUGUUGUCAUUGCUCUGGUUCUUCAGCCCAAAUUUGGAUUUGGCUUUCUUGAUGGUGGACGAUUAAUGAAGGAAGCCCUAACUGGACAAAUGUUGGUCUCCCGAGACCAUGUGUUGUUGAUAACAGGUCUGAUCUGAAUGAGUUGAGUCAGAUUUGAUUUUAAUAGAAUUUAAAGGCACAUGGAAGACACAUACACCAGCUUUUUAUCUAAAUCUGUUGUGCUUCAAAAGUUUAUUUCCAGGAAGUCUUAAACUUCUCAGGGAGGCUGCUCUAGGGUACUCUAGGGUACAUAUUUCUGCUAUGGGUGUUAGACUGUUCAUUUUUUUAACCAACUUUGUCUAGUAUUGACUUUAUUCAUUAUUACUUGCCCAAACUUCAAUGCUGACGUACAAUGCAUUGCUGUAUUACUCUUCCUAUAGAUAAAUUACUGUAUUCUGAUUUUAAAAACUGAGAAAAAUAAGGUUUAAGGUAAAGAAAUAAACACUUCCCUUCAUAGACUAAUGAGAUGACUGCAUUUGAUGUGAUAAUGGGGUGUUGCAACUGGGUGUUUUCAGAUCCAGGAUGGAAGCCUUCUCUAAAAUCAGCUAAUCCACAGAUAAAAAGCUAAAUGCAAUUACUACUACUUUACAUACUAUUUUGUGCUCCCAGAGAGUCUGUUAACUGCACAUUAGACCACUGAAUGCCAUAUUUCUUCUUUACAGGAUCAUUCAGUUACCAACAACUAUGCCAUUAAUUCAUGUGAAGGCAAAUACAAAAUGGUUCUCCAUUGCAGAAACAAUCACAAAAAUCAGUCACUAUAAUAUUCAAUGCCUGCUCUGAGUGCAAAAUUCAGCUCAACCUCAACUAUGGAGUCAAAGCCAGCUAUUCCUUAGUUAGAAUUAUCAGGACUCCGGAACAUAUAAACCAAAGGGAAUGAUAUGAUUUCUUUUUUCAAAACAUUUGGUUUUGAAUCUUCCUAGGAUAGGUGUCAUAUAUAAAGAUUGUGCUCAAUGGUGCCUCUGACCUUCCCUCCACAUAAGGGGAAAUACACAACCACAGGUUUCUGAACCCAUUUUAAGGUUGGGAUAGGAUCUCAUCCACAGGAGAGAUGGUGUUAUUUUUAAUAGACUUAUUAGGUCAAAUUCAGAGUUGGAGGAAUACCAUUCCAGCUAAUGAAAUUACACCAAGAAGACCUUUACUCAUCUGAAUUUCAGGAUUCAUUUCACCUUUGCACUCUGUUAGAUGCAAGUCACAGGAUGCCAGUCUGUGUUCUUCAUAGGUUAUUCCCACUGGGGAAAUAACUUUCCACUCACUGAGGUUCCCUGGAAUUCUUCCAUAUGGAAGAGGGAGGAAUUUCCCCUCCCACCCUCCAUCCUCGUGAAAAGAGACUGAAGGUUCAGUCCCCUGUAACUGUAGAUUGUCAGGGUCCUUUAGUAGUGGGAGCCAUAUACAUUUCUAAAAUAGAGACAUAAUGCGUGGCUGCAGAAGGGGCGGGUUGGAAGAGAGCAGGGCUGGCUACUCACCACAGAAUUGUCCCUCCUGCAGGGAUUCCCUACCUAAGCUAAGGCUGACUUACCGCUUUGUGGGAUGGAGGGUCCUCCCAGAAGGGGGCAGGGUUUGGGAGUAGUAGUAGAUGGAGGCCUUGGGAAACACAGAUCCCCCAAACCACCUGGGGGUGAGGGGAUCAAUUACUGUGGGGGCAAUGCCCUUCUCUUUUCCUUUCCUGAGACGCCGAUGCCAAGGAAUCUCUAGGAGGGGAACUUUUCAAUUUCUAGUCUCCGGUGCAAGUUAAUCCUGUGUACUGAAUAUUUUGUAUGGUAUAACAAACACCUCAGACUGCUUUUAUAGACCUGAUGUCAUUGCCCAUCAUCAGGGAAGGGAAAUGAAGUCUUCCACUUUAGGACGCAUUUGGCAGUAUAUUUGCUGAACUUUUCCCUUUCCUUCCCUCAUAUACAGGACAGACCAUUCCUGCUUUUAAACAUCAUACAGUGAAAACUUUCUUGUCUGUUUGAACCCACACGAGUCUUCCUUGAUUCUGAUUCUUAACCAUCCUGAUUGUAUGUAGUGCUAAUUAUUUAGGUAUUUUAGAUACUGGCUGAUUAUUAAGAUUAAUAAAGUUGGGUGACAUGUUCUUUUUCAGUGUUGCCAAAUGAAUUCAUUACCAACUAAUCCUCUUCUCAAUAUAGUAUUUACCUUAGGCACUUGGAGGUGUGAUUAAUUAAGUGUGAUUAAUUAAACUACAAGUCAUGAUCUCCUUAUUUUUUUCUUGUCACAUAACGUGUAAACAAGGGGACACUCAGUGAAAUAAAAUGGCAUGAGGCAGUACAUCUAGAUGCAAUAAAAGGAAAUACUUUGUGCUGUGUAUGGGGCGCUUGUUGAAUUUACUGCUACAGGUGGUCAUUCAGACAGAUAUGGCUACUACGUGGAAAGAAGCAUUUGCUAAUUUUAUUACCAUAAUUAAUGGGCCCAAUCCUGUAUUCCUUGUGCACCUAAGACUUAUGCUAACUUUAAUGGGAGUUCUGGGUGUGCAAAGAAUAAAAGUUAGGUCCUAUUUGCUGCUGUAUUAGCUAAUAAAAUAAGAUAAACCAGUCCUUAGGCUUCUGUGUAUAAGCUAAUCACCUGAGAGAGUCAGGAAGGAAUUCAGUUCUCCAUAGACAACAGCAUAGCACAAUUGGCUUGGCCAUUAGUUGUUAGUUUUCUUUCCUUUGCUUCCUCUAAAGCAUCAUAUACUGGCCAUUGCCAUUUUACUGAAGUAUAUGGUUUGGGCUUGUAUGGCAAAUCUUCUCUUUCUGUGACAUAUAUGCACACACACACACACACAUAUAUAUAUAUAUACACAGAGAGAGAGAGAGAGAGAGUGAAAAUAGGCUGAGAUUGAGACAUUCGUCAAUGAUGAAUUAUGGUUACUGUAAAGGUGUGGCUGCCUCCUGGAUGCCCCCUCAGGGCAGCUCUGCAAAUGGCCACUUCCCUCAGUUUCUCUCAAUUCCUCAGAUAAACUCAGUACAGCCUUCUUGUUAAAAGUCCCACUACUAUAAAUCAAAAUCCAUCCAGCACAGUCCAGAAAGUACAUUCAUCUCAACAGUCCAACAUCAAAUACUGCUCUGGCAUCUCUCAGCAUGCCCUCAGGUACAGCUCCAGUGUCUCUCACCAGUCCUCACCUCCACCCUGUUUCCUUCCCAAGUAGGGUUCCAGCUUCUGCCUGUAAACAUCAGUGGGCUCACCCCUCCAUCAUUCCCCAACCUUGAGCCCUCUCAAAGAGCCAGUGGGCAUCUCCCUCUGCUGCUGUCAGCCUCCAGCCCUCUCUGGCCAUGGGGAGGUACAGGUGACCCCCUGACUGCUUUCUGUUUUCUCCAGCCUGACCUGGCUCCCCUAUUCAACCAGGUAACUUUUACAUUCACUCCGUCAGGCGCAUCUCCUCCCUGAAGCUCUUGGUCCAGCUCUGCUCUUCCUCUGAGCUCUCUUUACUCUCAGGGCUCUCUCCCUUUCUGGGUUCUGAACUCCCUUCGCUGGCUUCUGAACUCGCAUUUAUAACUCCCAGAGGCAGCUCCUCCCGCCCCUCAGACUAGCGUGCACCUGGAACAGGAGCAUUAAACCCAAUUUCAUUUAUGGGCCAGCUACCCUGUUACAGUCACUAAAGUGAAAACUGUCCAUUUCUAAUAGUAUGAAUAAAAACAAGCUUCAUAGUCUUUCUUGUUAGCAAUAUGUGCAUUCCUCAGCCAUUUCAAAAUGGCAGAGGCAUGCUAUAGUGUGACAGUUAAGCUGAAGAAGCACUUGAUUGCCCUGAUCUGUUUUUAUAGCUGGCAUAUCAUUGAUUGUUGAGGCCCUUGUUCAUUAAUGGCAAUGGCAGGGUACUCUGAUUAUUAUUUAUUCAGUCACAAUGGUGUGACCUAGAAUCAGAUUGUAUGUAAUCUUGUAAAGAACUCAGAAUUAUGAUGUUUAGAUAUUUUAAUCUUUGUAAAGUAAGGAGUCUGCUCAUAAUCUAAUUGUUUUUAUUUAUUAUCAUGUUUGUCAUUUAACAGAAGAGUUCAGAGUAAGGGGCCUGCCUGUGUUGUUUUGUUCUCAAUUCACAUUAAAAGAUUUUAUACCCCAAAAAAAUCUUUCUUCUCAAUUAUGAAAAUACUUUCCUGAUCUCAUUAAGCCCAGAUAAAAAGAUUAAGUGGUGUGUUUGCUUUUUAUUUGUGACAAUACAAAUUAGACACACCUAUGACGAACUAAUUACUAUGUUUAUAUUUUU